GGCUGUUUGGUCUAGUGGUAUGAUUCUUUCUUAGGGUGGAAGAAGACCCGGGUUCAAUUCCCAGAACCCA
rnacentral:tRNA from 1 species